rnacentral:rRNA from 1 species
UACGUAGGGGGGCAAGCGUUGUCCGGAUUUAUUGGGCGUAAAGAGCGUGUAGGCGGCCAGAAAAGUCCGCUGUGAAAACUCGAGGCUCAACUUCGAGCUGUCGGUGGAAACUUUCUGGCUAGAGUCCGGAAGAGAAGAAUGGAAUUCCUGGUGUAGCGGUGAAAUGCGCAGAUAUCAGGAAGAACACCCGUGGCGAAGGCGGUUCUCUGGGACGGUACUGACGCUGAGACGCGAAAGCGUGGGGAGCGAACAGG